rnacentral:ncRNA from 1 species
AACAAAAAGAAGAAAACUCUGCGCAGUUAAGAUCUCAAAAUAAAAGUUUAUUUUAUUUUUAUAAUAAUAAUUAUAUAAAGUUUAUUACGGUUAUUAUUUUACAAAUGAUUUUUGGAAAAUUGUUCAAGAUAGCAACAGAAUAGCCGGAAACCAUUCCAAUUUAGAAGAAGGCUUAACGUAAAGUUGCUUUAAAAGUUUUUUUUCUUUAAAUUAAAAUAUUUUUAUUAAGUUAGGAAAUACCGAGUUGUUGUUGUUAGUAAAUUGUUGAGCCUUUCUAUAGAUAUAUAAAAGUAUAUUUAAAUCUUUUUAACCUUUUUAAAUUAGCGAAAGCAUUUGUCAAAGGUGUUUUCAUUAAUCAAAAAUGAAAGUUUUAGGUUCGAAGACGAUCAGAUACCUCCUUAGUUGCCAGCUAGCAAUUGGAUGUAGCUACUAUUAUGGCUCUCUAGUCGUUCCCCGGAGAACCAUAGUUUUUGGGCUCCGGAAGAAGUAUGGUCGCAAAGUUGAAACUUAAAAGAAUUGAGAGAUGGGCAUCGCCAGAGGUGGAGCCUGUGGCUAAAUUUUACUCAACACGGCAAAACUUGCUAGGUCCCGACAUAAGCGUGUAAGCCAGGUUGGCAACUAUUUCUCGACUUUACAGGUGUUGGCGCAUGUGUGUUCUUACUUCGUGGAGUGAUUUGUCCGAUUAAUUCCGAUAACGUACAAAACUCAAAUAUAUUAAUUAGAUGCUUUAAGGAUUAUGACCUUGAGGGUUUUACGGUCUUCAUUUAUGAGCAUAGUGAAAUGUAUAUUAGGAUUACCACAUAAGGGUAAGAAAAUUCUUUGCCUUCUUCAUAACUUAAUCGUCAUAAAUCUGUCGUAAAAGUCUCUGUGUUGGCACUGGCGGAUCUAUUUGUCAUAGAGCGGUGCCGCAGACAGAAUAUUCAGUAAAUAUAUUAAAUCCUUUAGGACGGGUUUUCUGAACGGACAAAACGAUUUGUUUCUCAAUAAAAAAUUGUUCUCUUUAUCGGUUCUAUCUACCUUUGAAACCGACCGAAAAACACUAUUCCCGAAACGUUGAUAGUUGUUGCACGAAUAUUUUCAUAUUAAAAGGAGCAAUAAAAAAUGGAAAACUCUUGGGCUAUUUUUGUUUAAAAAAUUCUCAUAUUUAGUUUUCCAAGAAAUCUUUCGAUAUCAAAUUAAAACUAAUAAGGAUGAUAAGAAUAAAAUGCACGAUUUCAUGCUGAAGCCAAACAAUAGCAAAUACGACACAAUUUAAUUUGUGAGUUACUACGAUCUUCUUGAAUGUUAUUUAGUAUCGGCAGUCAAGAACUUUUGGUUUCAUAUUGUUUCAUAUUA